rnacentral:misc_RNA from 1 species
GCCUACUGUUUAAUUUUGAGGGUUCGUUUUUACGAAUACUCAAAAGUAGCACUUUAAGCAACGGAAUUUAUUCGUUGGCGCUGUGCAUUAGCACUUUAAGCAACGGAAUUUAUUCGUUGGCGCUGUGCAUUAGCACUUUGAAAACUGCAUAUAUAUAUUUAGUGAUAUGACAUCUAAUUUGUAAUAUAUAAAGCUGAUAACUUUUUAAAAUUAUCGAAGUUGAUAGCUUCUAAUCUAUCAAACCUUUUUAACUGGUCAA